AAGGACGGAGAUAGAAUGUUGUAUUCCUGGAUCUGUGAGUCCUCAGAUGUGCCAGGCACUGGUUUAAGCACUUUAGUGACCUAGCUGGCCUGGCCUGCAUUUCUGCUGCUGCCUCCAGUUCCUCGCAGUUGCUGGCAGGGGGGCCCGCAGGUGGGGACCAAAGUGGGACUCGGCAUGAACUAUGUGAGCACAGCCUUAGAUCUGACA
ensembl:snoRNA